rnacentral:lncRNA from 1 species
CCGCCUAAAUUUUUUUCUUGCGUAGUAUUGAUGUUUCAAAAGAUGUCGCUUAGAUAUUUGGAAUAUGAUAUCGUAUAGUUUAUACGCUUUUAAAAUUUACAACUGCGUAACAAAAUACUUUACGUUGUAAGAGUUAUCUCCCCAAACACUGUUUUUCUUGUGGCCACUACUCCUUCGCAACCGUAAAAGAUUACGACAAAUUUAUUUUACCAAAUUGCUCGUUACAUCUUCAGGAUUAGGAAUAUUCAUUUGGACCGAAGCUAUCUGGAGACUCCAUAUGAGAGUUAUUUCCCCUUAUGCAUUUGAUAUAAGUGAUAUGCGUUUCUAACUGGUAAACCAUAAGUGAUAGAGACCUAGGGUCUCUUGAUUUGAGAUCCUUGGUCCAAAAAAAUGAAAAUAAGGUCAAGGUCAAAGGUCAAGGUCAUAUUCUAAAAUUUGAUUUUGGCUUAUUUUCACUUAUUUUCAAAAUACCUUAUGAGAUAUUGACAAAUUAUUUUUACUAAAUUGUUAGUUGCGACAUGUCCUUACUUGUAAUAUUUUGGUUGGAAAGGUGUGCAGACAAUAAAUGGGAGUUUUUGCCCAUCUUAUAUUUAGAAUUAUGCGUAAAGUGAUAUUACUCAUUAACCAAACAUAUUAAAGACCUAGGGUCUUUUGAUUUAAGGUCCUUGGAUUUGUGACCUUGAAAUUGAGGUCAAGGUCAUAGGUUAAUAGGACGUUCUAGAUUUUGACCUUUGCUUUAAAUUCAUAUUAAAUACAUUCAUAAAGCCAUAGGAACUGACAUUUUAGAGCUGAUUUUUAAUAUUUUGAUAUCAAAAUAGAUCUUUACUUGUGGAAAGACCUUCAAUUGUUCUCUGAACAAUUGGAUUAUUAGGUCUUUCCACCUUUCCGUGGAAAGACCUUCAUUAUUAUUAGGUCUUUCCACCUUUCGUUGAAAGACCUAUAGGUUUUGUUCUGAUUAUUAUUAGGUCUUCCACUUUUCCGUGGAAAACCUAUUGGAAUUUGUUUGAUUAUUAUAUUAUUUUUUUUUUUUUUUUUUCUUCCGCCUAAAUUUUUUUCUUGCGUAUUAUUGAUGUUUCAAAAGAUGUCGCUUAGAUAUUUGGAAUAUGAUAUCGUAUAGUUUAUACGCUUUAAAAAAUUUACAACUGCGUAACAAAAUACUUUACGUUGUAAGAGUUAUCUCCCCAAACACUGUUUUUCUUGUGGCCACUACUCCUUCGCAACCGUUAAAGAUUACGACAAAUUUAUUUUACCAAAUUGCUCGUUACAUCUUCAGGAUUAGGAUAUUCAUUUGGACCGAAGCUUUACGGAGACUCCAUAUGAGAGUUAUUCCCCCUUUUCCAUUUAAUUAAGUGAUAUGCAUUUCUAAAUGGUAAACCAUAAGUGAUAAAGACCAUAGGGUCUUUAGAUUUUGAGGUCCUUUGUCCAAAAAAAUAAAAAAUGAGGUCAAGGUCAAAGGUCAAGGUCAUAUUCUAAAUUUUGAUUUUGGCUUAUUUUCAUUUAUUUUCAAAUACCUUAUGACAUAUCGACAAAUAAUUUUUUCAUAAAUUGUUAGUUGCGACAUGUCCUUACUUGUAUAUUUUGGUUGAAAGGGUGCGCAGACAAUAAAUGGGAGUUUUUGCCCAUCUUACAUUUAGAAUUACGCGUAAAGUGAUAUUACUCAUAAACCAAACAUAUUAAAGACCUUAGGGUCUUUUGAUUUAAGGUCCUUGGUUUGUGACCUUGAAAUUGAGGUCAAGGUCAUAGGUUAAUAUGACGUUCUAGAUUUUGACCUUUGCUUUAAAUUCAUAUUAAAUACAUCAUAAAGCCAUAGGAACUAACAUUUUUAAACUGAUUUUUAAUAUUUCAAUAUCAAAAUAGAUCUUUACUAGUGGAAAGACCUACAAUUGUUCUCUGAACAAUUGGUUUUUAAUUAUUAUUAUUUUUUUUUUUCUUCCGCCUAAUUUUUUUUCUUGCGUAGUAUUGAUGUUUCAAAAGAUGUCGCUUAGAUAUUUGGAAUAUGAUAUCGUAUAGUUUAUACGCUUUUAAAAAUUUACAACCGCGUAACAAAAUACUUUACGUUGUAAGAGUUAUCUCCCCAAACACUGUUUUUCUUGUGGCCACUACUCCUUCGCAACCGUAAAAGAUUACGACAAAUUUAUUUUACCAAAUUGCUCGUUACAUCUUCAGGAUUAGAAUAUUCAUUUGGACCGAAGCUAUCCGGAGACUCCAUAUGAGAGUUAUUCCCCUUUAUGCAUUUGAUAUUAGUGAUAUGCAUUUUCAACUGGUAAACCAUAAGUGAUAGAGACCUAGGGUCUUUAGAUUUGAGGGUCCUUGGUCCAAAAAAAUGAAAAUAAGGUCAAGGUCAAAGGUCAAGGUCAUAUUCUAAAUUUUGAUUUUGGCUUAUUUUCACUUAUUUUCAAAACCGUGAAAGAUAUAUUGACAAAUUAAUUUUUACUAAAUUGUUAGUUGCGACAUGUCCUGUAACUUAUAAUAUUUUUGGUUGAAAGGGUGCGUAAACAAUAAAUGGGAGUUUUUCGCCCAUCUUAUAUUUAAAAUUAUGCGUAAAGUGAUAUUACUCAUUAACCAAACAUAUUAAAGACCUAGGGUCUUUUGUUUUGAGGUCCUUGGUUUGUGACCUUGAAAUUGAGGUCAAGGUCAUAAGGUUAAAAUAGGACGUUCUAGAUUUUGACCUUUGCUUUAAAUUCAUAUUUAAUACAUUCAUAAAGCCAUAGGAACUGACAUUUUAAACUGAUUUUUAAUAUUUUCAAUAAUCAAAAUAGAUCUUUACUUGUGGAAAGACCUUCAAUUGUUCUCUGAACAAUUGGUUUUUAAUUAUUUUUUUUUUUUUCUUCCGCCUAAAUUUUUUUCUUGCGUAGUAUUGUUGUUUCAAAAGAUGUCGCUUAGAUAUUUGGAAUAUGAUAUCGUAUAGUUUAUACGCUUUAAAAAUUUGACAACCGCGUAACAAAAUACUUUACGUUGUAAGAGUUAUCUCCCCAAACACUGUUUUUCUUGUGGCCACUACUCCUUCGCAACCGUAAAAGAUUACGACAAAUUUAUUUUACCAAAUUGCUUGUUACAUUCUUCAGGAUUAGGAUAUUCAUUUGGACCGAAGCUAUACGGAGACUCCAUAUGAGAGUUAUUCCCCCUUAUUAUUUGAUAUAAGUGAUAUGCAUUUCUAAACUGGUAAACCAUAAGUGAUAGAGACCUAGGGUCUUUAGAUUUGAGGUCCUUGGUCCAAAAAAAUGAAAAUAAGGUCAAGGUCAAAGGUCAAGGUCAUAUUCUAAAUUUUUGAUUUUGGCUUAUUUUCUCUUAUUUUCAAAUACCUUAAAGAUAUUGACAAAUUAUUUUUACUAAAUUGUUAGUUGCGACAUGUCCUGUAACUUUAUAAAUUUUGGUUUGAAGGGUGCGUAAACAAUAAAUGGAGAGUUUUCGCCCCAUCUUAUAUUUAGAAUUAUGCGUAAAGUGAUAUUACUCAUUAAACCAUACAUAUUACAGACCUAGGGUCUUUUGAUUUGAGGUCCUUGGUUUGUGACCUUGAAAUUGAGGUCAAGGUCAUAGGUUAAUAUGACGUUCUAGAUUUUGACCUUUGCUUUAAAUUCAUAUUUAUACAUCAUAAAGCCAUAGGAACUGACAUUUUAAACUGAUUUUUUAAUAUUUUGAUAAUAAAAAUAGAUCUUUACUUGGAAAGAUCAAUGAAAAUUUAAACUUUUCUUGGAAAGACUUAUUGUUUUGUUCAUUAUUGUCUUUCCACCUUUCCGUGGAAAGACCUAUUGAAUUGUUCUGAUUUUAUUAUUAUUAUUAUUAUUUUUUUUUUUUUUUUCUUCCGCCUAAAUUUUUUUCUUGCGUAGUAUUGAUGUUUCAAAAGAUGUCGCUUAGAUAUUUGGAAUAUGAUGUCGUAUAGUUUAUACGCUUUAAAAAUUUACAACUGCGUAACAAAAUACUUUACGUUGUAAGAGUUAUCUCCCCAAACACUGUUUUUCUUGUGGCCACUACUCCUUCGCAACCGUAAAAGAUUACGACAAAUUUAUUUUACCAAAUUGCUCGUUAUUCUUCAGGAUUAGAAUAUUCAUUUGGACCGAAGCUAUCCGGAGACUCCAUAUGAGAGUUAUUUCCCCUUAUGCAUUUGAUAUAAGUGAUAUGUGUUUCUUACUGGUAAACCAUCAGUGAUAUAGGCCUAGGGUCUUUAGAUUUAAGGUCCUUGGUCCAAAAAAAUGAAAAUAAGGUCAAGGUCAAAGGUCAAGGUCAUAUUCUAAAUUUUGAUUUUGGCUUAUUUUCUCUUAUUUUCAACAACCGUGAAAGAUAUUCGACAAAUUUUUUUACUAAAUUGUGAGUUGCGACAUGUUGUAACUUAUAAAUUUUGGUUGGAAGGGUGCGUAAACAAUAAAUGAGAGUUUUCGCCCCAUCUUAUAUUUAAAAUCAUGCCUAAUAGUGAUAUAACUCAUUAACCAUACAUAUUACAGACCUAGGGUCUUUUUGUUUGAGGUCCUUGGUUUGGUGACCUUGAAAUUGAGGUCAAGGUCAAAGGUUAAUAGGACGUUCUAGAUUUUGACCUUUGCUUUAAAUUCAUAUUUAUACAUUAUAAAGCCAUAGGAACUGACAUUUUAGAUUGAUUUUUAAUAUUUUGAUAAUAAAAUAGAUCUUUACUUGUGGAAAGACCUUCAAUUGUUCUUUGAACAAUUGGUUUUUAAUUAUUAUUAUUAUUAUUAUUAUUAUUUUUUUUUUCUUCCGCCUAAUUUUUUUCUUGCGUAGUAUUGUUGUUUAAUAAGUUGUCGCUUAGAUAUUUGGAAUAUGAUAUCGUAUAGUUUAUACGCUUUAAAAAUUUACAACUGCGUAACAAAAUACUUUACGUUGUAAGAGUUAUCUCCCCAAACACUGUUUUUCUUGUGGCCACUACUCCUUCGCAACCGUAAAAGAUUACGACAAAAUUAUUUUACCAAAUUGCUCGUUACAUCUUCAGGAUUAGGAUAUUCAUUUGGACCGAAGCUAUACGGGGACUCCAUAUGAGAGUUAUUUCCCCUUAUGCAUUUGAUAUAAGUGAUAUGCGUUUCUAACUGGUAAACCAUCAGUGAUAGAGACCUAGGGUCUCUUGAUUUGAGUUCCUUGGUCCAAAAAAAUGAAAAUAAGGUCAAGGUCAAAGGUCAAGGUCAUAUUCUAAAAUUUGAUUUUGGCUUAUUUUCACUUAUUUUCAACAACCGUGAAAGAUAUUGACAAAUUAUUUUUACUAAAUUGUGAGUUGCAACAUGUUGUAACUUAUAAAUUUUGGUUGGAAGGGUGUGUAAACAAUAAAUGAGAGUUUUCGCCCAUCUUAUAUUUAGGAUUAUAUGUAAAGUAAUUUAAUUCAUUAACCUUACAUAUUAAAGUGCUAGGGUCUUUUGUUUAGAUGUCCUUGGGUUUUGACCUUGCGAUUGAGAGCAUGGUCACGUAGGUUAACUUGACGUUCUAGAUGUACCAGACAUUUCAAGUAAUUUUCAAUGAGUUAAAAUACAUCUUUAAUUCCGGAAUCAGAACCGACUUCGUAUUUAAUUUUAGAAACAGUUGUUGAUUUCCGAUUUCCUGUACACAGGUACAUGAUUU